AAGCUCGUAGUUGAAUUUCGGGCCUGAUUAAGUGGUUUAGUCGCAAGAUUAACACUACUUAGUUGGGUCUUUCCUUCUAGGGAACUAUCAUGUACUUUAUUGGAUGUGAUAGGGAUCUAGAACUGUUACUUUGAAAAAAUUAGAGUGUUUAAAACAGGCUUAUGCUUGAAUACAUUAGCAUGGAAUAACGGAAUAGGACUUUGUUUCUAUUUUGUUGGUUUUGAGAAACGAGGUAAUGAUUAAUAGGGAUAGUUGGG
rnacentral:rRNA from 1 species